ACCAAUGUCUGGUAUUAUGAUCCGGCCUACUAAGUAACACGGGUUAGUGGGGUCUAUUGAGUUUCUCAUUUUCUUUUUCCAUCUUCACUUUACCAAUAAUAAGCAUUUCUCAAUCUGGAAAAUAAAUUAUACUAUUCAAAAACCUAUCUAUCUUCAGCAGCUAUGUACAACCUGAGGCCUCACUCUUCUAAUCGAAGUUUCUUCAUCAAUCAAACCAUUCCAGCUGGUUACUCAGUUCCGCCUACGAGUCUUACAAAUGAGGUAUUGGGUAUUCCACGACAGAGAUUUUAGAAUUACAGAGAAAUGCGAGAAGUUAUUACCAUAGAAGUCGAGAAGGAGAAGAAGAGAAAUCGAAUCACAAACUAAUAGUAUGGAGAGAUAAUUGCUGCCACGGGGAAGCGAAUACGGAUUGAUCGGAGCCUCGAUUUCACUGCCAAUGCUGUGGUUUUUUGCGCCUCCACCAAGCGACUACGGAUUGAUCGGAGAUUCCAUUGUGCCGCAGCCGAACGGCGGAAUGUCUGUGGAGGAGAAAUUGGCAAGGAAUUGUAAGAAGAGAUUGGUGGAAAAGGCCCUCGCCGCACGACAACAGCGGUAUGGCAGUUAGAUUGAUGCAAUGACAACAAUAACAUAUUCAAUAUAGUUUCACUACCUUUGUAAGGUAGAGAGCCUGUUAUAGAAAAUCGUGUUUCAAAACUGGUUUGAAAGAAGAUGUUGCAUUGACAAUGUAUGCCUUAAUGGUAGAGAGCCUCUUGUAUACGAGGUAAGACUACGUAUAAUAGGUCCUUGUGGUCCGAUCCUUUCCCGUACUCCACACAUUACGAGAGUUUUAGUACACCGAACUACCAUUUUAAUGGUAUAAAGAAAAAUAAAACAUCCUCUGUUUUAUUCU